rnacentral:ribozyme from 1 species
CUACGGACUUGAUUGUAUUGAGCCUUGGUAUGGAAACCUGCUAAGUGGUAACUUCCAAAUUCAGAGAAACCCUGGAAUUAAAAAAGGGCAAUCCUGAGCCAAAUCUGUGUUUUGAGAAAACAAGGGGUUCUCG